ensembl:lncRNA
AAUAAAUCCUACCUGAUGGACGGCCACAGGUUUCCUUAAAGGCCUCCAGUAGACAUGAAGAGCCCUGAGCAACGCUCCGGAGCGAUAUCCAAAACACUGGGCAGGAAGGAGAGUAUCCAAAUCAAGUGUAAAAGGAUGCAAGCGGCGUGUUCAGUUCAGUGACUUCAAACUAGGACUACACCAAUCAGGAUCAAAGGAGGAUGGACACCUAAAGGUAUUCCACAAGGAGAGUCUGAUGUUGGAAAGGGACCUAAAUGGAUAUUCAAGAUGACCUUCAGACCUGUAAUGAGACAGCUCUUCCUACCUGGCUGGAUGAUGGAGAGCCCUGUGGAUCUUGUCUGGCUCUCAGUUGCACGUCUUCUCAGGCUGAACUGUAUAUGUUUCGCACAGGACUAGCUGAACGAUUGGUUCCCUUAAUUCAGAAUCAAUCCGGGAACGCUCUUCGAGCUGAAGUUGUGCGCUUCAGCUGAGGAGAGCAAGACCUCCACCUCCUCACCCAGAGCCAGACCUUCACCUCCUGUCAGAAGUCCUCCAGAACAGGCGAGGCUGAGAGGCUGGGGACCGGACACUUGUGGUUCCAGGAUGGACCGGAGACUGAGGCUGGAGACCAGGGGCCUGCAGCACCGGACCAGGGGUAACCAUCACCAAGCUCAUCUGAAACACGAAAAUCCACGACCAGGAAUCCAUGGCUGAAGGAGGUGAUGGAGGAGCCAUGCUGAAGGAACUGAAGGAGCUGAUGGAGGAGCUGUGCUGAAAGAGCUGAUGGAGGAGCCGUGCUGAUGGAGGAGUCGUGCUGAAGGCCCUGGCUGGUGGAGGAGCUGGUGGGGGGGGCCCUGCCUGGUGAAGGACGUCUGUCGUGGGACCAGGACUCUGUCUGAGGAGAGCUGCUGGAGGAGCUGAGACGCUGGAGGAUGACUAGGAAUCGACCAACAAGGAUUCCGCGUAAGUUUGUAUUCACUUACAUGGUUGACUUAAAGGGCAAAAUACAGCUGUUACUUUGAC